GUCCGAAGCAAGGUGGCAUUGUGGAGUGCGGGUAUUAUGUGAUGCGAUUCAUGCGUGAUAUAAUAUUGUCAAGCAACAGGACAAUCAUUGAAGUAAUGGAAGGAUCAACCUCAACAUACUCACAGGACGAUUUAGAUGUCGUAAGAACGGAGUGGGCUGAAUUCGUUAACAAAUAUAUUUUCUGUUCCCAAUCUCAAAGGUAAUUGAAGAAUAGUGGAUCAUGG